GUAAUACUCCCUCCGUCCGAAAAAGCUUGUCCCUCAAAUGGAUGUAUGUAGCACUAACUUGAUGCUAGAUACAUUCAUUUGAGAGACAAGCUUUUCCGGAUGGAGGGAGUAGUAA
rnacentral:pre_miRNA from 1 species